rnacentral:rRNA from 1 species
AUGGAUGAUUUUGUGUCAUGGCACUAUAAUAAAACAGGGAUUUUCUCGGUUAAGACGGCAUACCACAUGGAGUGGGAUCACCAACAUGGACGAAACGUGAGACAAACAAAUACCACAUUGUCUUCAACUAGUCCGGUUUGGCGCACUCUUUGGAAGCUUCAAAUACCGGCAAAGAUCAAGGUGCAUGUUUGGAGAGCUUUGUAUGGUGCAAUCCCUUGCCGGGGAGUACUGGCCAAUCGACAUAUGAUAACAAUCUCCGACUGCCCGAUAUAUGCCAUGGACUGUGAGAGUAUUCGUCACUCUUUCUUCAGAGGCAAUAGAGUGCAAGAGAUUUGGGCAAAGCUGGGUUUGCUACACAUCAUAAAUGAGCUGUCUGAAACUGAGUUGGAGGGAUCCUCAGUCCUUGGUGACCUGAUGCUAAUGCCAAACUCAGUUGUCUCGUCGCUCCCGGGCAUGCCCAUGAAGGAGUUGGUUGCUGUGGCGGUUUGGGCAAGGAAGCAUGGCACGGGCAGGAUACAGAGACAUGGAUGGACGAGACCUUCAGAGGGUUUUGUUAGUCUCAAUAUUGACGCCUCUUUUGAUGCUGAUAGUGGCUCUGGCGGGACAGGAGCCAUCAUACGGGACUCCACAGGCUUUUUCGUUGCGGCAUCCACGAGUAGUAUCCCGUUUGUCCAGGACGCAGCGACGGCCGAGGCUCGGGGCCUCAAGGACGGGCUGGUGCUGGCAAACACCAUCGGCUGCAACAAAGUGGAGAUCAGGGCGGACUGUAUGGAGGUUAUCCAGAUCAUGCAAGAUGGCGGUAACUCCUUAGGACCAGCUGCAGCCAUCUAUGAGGAGUGUACUUUCUUGUGCCGUAAUUUUAUUUCUGUUAGUUUCAGUCAUUGCCCUAGGGAAGCCAAUAUGGCGGCUGAUCUUUUGGCUACUAAGUCGGAGCCCUCGCGAACUAUUGUAUGGCAAAACGAGGCUCCGGACUUUCUACUCGAUGUAAUCACAAACGAUGUAGCCCUUUUCUCACAUGAAAUAUAA